CCCCGUUUUUAACAGUCUCUUCCUAAAUAUAACUCUACAUUUAAUUCAUGGAAUUUUAAUCGUAAUUUACCUUGUUUGCCUUGGAUUUACAUUCAUUUAAGAUUCUGUUUUGACGAAUGUUCAAACGAAAAUUGUACAGAGGAUGAAUUAUGGGAUAUUAAUGAAAAAAGUGUUGUAUUCUAUAACGUAAACAAACUAUAUACAUUUGCACCAUCUCGUCAAUUUAGCCAGACUUAUCCAUAACGAUUAUAAAUGAUAUCAGGGAGUCUGGAACUCAGAAAAAUAUACUCAUCUG
rnacentral:lncRNA from 1 species